AAUGGGCGCAAGCCUGAUGCAGCCAGUGACCGCGUGUAUGAAGAAGGCCUCGGGUUGUAAAGUACUUUCAGCAGUGAGGAAGGUGGGUAUGUUAAUAGCAUACUCAUUUGACGUUAGCUGCAGAAGAAGCACCGGCUAACUCCGUGCCAGCAGCCGCGGUAAUACGGAGGGUGCGAGCGUUAAUCGGAAUUACUGGGCGUAAAGCGCAUGCAGGUGGUUUGUUAAGUCAGAUGUGAAAGCCCGGGGCUCAACCUCGGAAUUGCAUUUGAAACUGGCAAACUAGAGUACUGUAGAGGGGGUAGAAUUUCAGGUGUAGCGGUGAAAUGCGUAGAGAUCUGAAGGAAUACCGGUGGCGAAGGCGGCCCCCUGGACAGAUACUGACACUCAGAUGCGAAAGCGUGGGGAGCAAACAGGAUUAGAUACCCCUGGUAG
rnacentral:rRNA from 1 species